GGGCUGGCAGUUGAGUGGAUAAAGUCUCUUUUUGGGGAUCGGUCCCAUAUGCAAGUGUCCAUGUCUUGGGUGUUUGCUGUGAUUGCACUGGACCAGUGUCUGCGGGAUGAGAAGUCUUCCUGGCGAAAUCAAGUGAGAAAGUGGGCGGCUGCGCUGUUGACGAACUGGGGCAGUGGAGUUGAGAGUACUGAAAGCCACUAUUGAUGGCACUAAAGCCCCUAUUGAUUGAGGCGGGGCCAUCGGUGACGUCGCCAAGCAGAGUCUCAGACCGUUCGAGUUCCAGGACAGGGAGCCGUGCGGAUCUGGAUAUCACCAUACAGACUUUUAUUUUGUGGGGCAUCGUUGGGCCCUAGAAAUUGAGAGCCUAUCCCCACAUUCUGAUGACUGUUAUUUAAUCCACUAACUGUUUAAUUGUUACCUGAUUAAAUGAUUAUGUAACAAUUAAAUCAUUAGGAUUUGGGGCACCACGGUAGAAGUUGUUUAGAGUUACCAUCUCCCGAAUAAAACUAAGGUCUUUACCUAUAACAUAGAUAAAUAGUUACCUUAUUAAUCAUUACCUCGUAUUACUUAUUACUCUUAAUACUUAUUCUGAAUGCUCAUAACCUUGGAUCUGCAAAAACCUCAGCCUUGCGCAUUAUUUAUUACCAGAGCAAUUGGUGUAAUUUAUGCACAUGAACCGCCGCCUGUUUGGAAUAAAAAAUCAAUGCAUUUGUGUGAAAUGCCUUCAUUCGUCGUGUAUCUCGGUCGGAACCAAGCCUUCUCGGAAAGUUGUGGGUGUAAGGCUCUGAUUGUCCACGAGGUCAAUGUCCGUAGUUGUCUGUGGCUUCAAUUACUUGUCAUGUAGUCUGGGGCAGAACGAGUGGAACUGUUCUCUUCCACUCGUUCUGGAAGAUUGGUCCUCUGAAGACAGGCUAAUCAGCCGUGUCAAUGAUUCCCAUUGGUGAUGAGCAUAGUAGGAUAGUUUAGGUAAAAUUUUCUUGAUAUCUGAUGCCAUCUCAUCAGCUGUCCCAGUGAUUGUCUGAGGUGAGCUUCUCGCCUCUUCCUCCUUGUGUUGGUAUUCAGGAUUCUGACCACGAUAGACAUGAGCUGCAGCUGUUCCUCUCUCUGGUCUAAAGGAAGGUGAGUUUAUUUCUUCACCUUGUGUUGAGGUUCAGAGUUUCAACCAUUUAAAACAUGUAGUUCUCGCUUCACGUUUCUUGGUCUAAUGUUAAUUUCAUUACCAAGGCUAUUAUGCACUAUGGCCAAAGGCGACGGUACUGUCCCUCUGACACGCUCUUCUGACCUCACUCGGGGAGUGGCCACUUAAUGUGCAAAGGAUAUUAUUAGAAGUUCUCUUCUGACUCCUAAAAUCACGUACCUAUCUCAACAAAAACACAUUAUUUUCACAUUGUAUGAAAACUUGCCAGAUUAAAGGGGUAUCCUUUCCAAGUUACACUAUUUAGUCCAUACUGUUUUUUUUAAUAACAUCACAAAAUAAAAACCAAUAUUACAUUAGUUUUCUACAUUUUCCCACAUCGUUCCAUUAGAGAUAUUGUUCCAUUCACUUUAUGGGCUUUAGAGUUUUGGGCGGGCAGAAGUCUCUCGAGACAAAGGCAUUCUUUUGGUUGAUAAAGAGCGAGAGAAUUCUCUUUGAAUUUACGACCAGGUGUGAACGGUCAACCAACCAGCAGCUCCCUCUCCCCUCCUUGGGAGAGACCUGGUUAUUGUCACCCCCUUUCUAUACACUGUCUGUCUUCCCCCCCUCCCCUAUUUUGUCUUAUAGCAGUAGAGUCCGUUAGAGGGGUUAGCAGACUAGAGCAGGGCAAAGGGUGGGUCCCAUGUUGUGUGCUGGAGAACAUUAAGUCCUGUGUUGGGUGAUGUUAAAAGGGAUUCACACUAAACUGAUGUUAAUAUUAAAGGAGACAUUUUUAAGCUUGA